rnacentral:rRNA from 1 species
ACGAACGCUGGCGGCGUGCUUAACACAUGCAAGUCGAACGGUGAAGGGACCGGUUUUUGCUGGUUCUGGAUGAGUGGCGAACGGGUGAGUAACACGUGAGUAGCCUGCCCCCUUCUUCUGGAUAACCGCAUGAAAGUGUGGCUAAUACGGGAUAUUCUGCGCCUGCUGCAUGGUGGGUGUGGGAAAGAUAUUGUUUCGGUGGGGGAUGGGCUCGCGGCCUAUCAGCUUGUUGGUGGGGUGAUGGCCUACCAAGGCGGUGACGGGUAGCCGGCCUGAGAGGGUGGACGGUCACACUGGGACUGAGACACGGCCCAGACUCCUACGGGAGGCAGCAGUGGGGAAUAUUGCACAAUGGGCGCAAGCCUGAUGCAGCGACGCCGCGUGAGGGAUGGAGGCCUUCGGGUUGUAAACCUCUUUCGCCAGUGAAGCAGGCCUGUCCCUUUUGUGGGUGGGUUGACGGUAGCUGGAGAAGAAGCGCCGGCUAACUACGUG